CACGGGGGGAGCAAGCGUUGUUCGGAAUUACUGGGCGUAAAGGGCGCGUAGGUGGCCUUCUAAGUUGAACGUGAAAUCCCUGGGCUCAACCCAGGAACUGCGUCCAAGACUGGGAGGCUUGAAUCCGGGAGAGGGAUGCGGAAUUCCAGGUGUAGCGGUGAAAUGCGUAGAUAUCUGGAGGAACACCGGUGGCGAAGGCGGCAUCCUGGACCGGUAUUGACACUGAGGCGCGAAAGCCAGGGGAGCAAACGGG
rnacentral:rRNA from 1 species